GGUGCCUUACGAGUUCCCUGGAACGGGACGCCUUAGAGGGUGAGAGCCCCGUACGUUUGGUUACCGAGCCUCUGUAAAGCUCCUUCGACGAGUCGAGUAGUUUGGGAAUGCUGCUCUAAAUGGGAGGUAAAUUUCUUCUAAAGCUAAAUACCGGCCAGAGACCGAUAGCGCACAAGUAGAGUGAUCGAAAGAUGAAAAGCACUUUGAAAAGAGGGUUAAAUAGCACGUGAAAUUGUUGAAAGGGAAGCGUUUAUGACCAGACUUUUUCCUAGCGGAUCAUCCGGCGUUCUCGCCGGUGCACUUCGCUAGGUUUAGGCCAGCAUCGGUUUUCGCAGGGGGAUAAAAGCAGUGGUAAUGUGGCUCCCUCCGGGGAGUGUUAUAGACCGCUGUAUAAUACC
rnacentral:rRNA from 1 species